GCGGGCGUCGUACAAUGGCAGUAUAGAAGCUUCCCAAGCUUCGGACGUGGGUUCGAUUCCCAUCGCCCGCUCCA
rnacentral:tRNA from 6 species